ensembl:lncRNA
AUUUCGUUGUGUCUUUAUGGCUGCGCAGUAGUCCACGGUGUAUAUUUACCACAUUUUCUUUAACCAGCCUGCCUCUGAUGGGCACCUAGGUUGAUUCUGUGUCUGCUAUAGUGAAAAGUUCUGCAAUUAACCUGUGAGUGCAGGUGUCUUUUUGGUAGAACAAUUUAUUUUCUUUUGGAUAUAUACCCAGUAAUGGGAUUGCUGGGUUGAAUGGUGGUUCUACCUUAAGUUCUUUUUUUUUUAUUUUGGGACAGAAAGUGCCCUGUAAUCCCAGCUACACAGGAGGCUGAGGCAGAAGAAUUGCUUGAACCUGGGAGGCGGAGGUUGCAGUGAGCUGAGAUCACACCAAUGCACUUCAGCCUGGGUGACAGAGUAAGACUCUGUCUCAAAACAGAAGAAAAAGAAAAAGCUUGCCGAUUGCCGAUUGCUGAUUUUGCAGCAGGGUCACACACAGAGCAUGUAGCCAAGGUGGAUUCAGCUGCACUGAAGAUCAGUUGCCCCAUCCCCGUGAAGUUGACUGUGCCCAAGUUAAGAAUACCUAGUGGAAUGUGGUCCUUGUUACCCGAGGAGCGAAGGUGCGUCUGUUCGGGCUGUCACUCCGUCUGUUUUGCAGCACCUCGCUCAAGUAAGUUACCCUGGAAUUAACACCUCCUAUAUUUGGAAAAAUCCUUGUGGUUGUCGUUCAAGCACUGCUAUAUGCUGGUGUCUGUCCACAUAAAAGACAACAGUCAAAAAGACACACACAUUGAUUUCAAAUGUGUGACGCAAGGCAGCAGUAUGCACGGAUAUCAAACUAAAGAAGAUGCAUGUUUCACAUAAGCCUGCACCAGGGAAAUUUUAUGUAUGGAGCUUAAAGUUAGAAGCCAGCCUCGAAGUCUGCUAUUUAAAAGGGCCAUGUCCAAUGAUAUUCAAAUUAAUAAAGCAAAAAUUGAAUUAAGGAGGCCAAGCAUAUCCUUUUAAAAUGUAGCUGACUAAAGUGCUGAUAGAGAAGCAAGGUUUAGGCUAAACGGAAGGUCUUCUUCAUUCGAUAACGAUUCUUAAAAGUCUGCAUGCCAUGUACCAAGGACUCAGAGACAAUCAAGACACAGUCCUCAACCUCAAGCACAUGACGGAUCUUUGAAACGUGAAAUAGGAACACAGAGUUGGGGGCAACUAACCUGUCCUGAUGGACCUGGGGUGGGUUUCACAGAGACGAUAUUUAAGUGGAGACUUGAAAGGCAAGUUGACAUUUUCCAGGUGCAAAAAGAAGGGGAAAAGCAUUUCAGGCAAAGGCACAGGCGUGUAAAAGGAUCUGGCAAAUCUAAGGGAUGUGGGAAACAAGAGAAUUUCCAUGCUUUUGGAAGACAAUGAUAACACAGGUUUCAUCAGAAGUGUUCCUGAUGAGCAUUCUUUAUGAGCCAUGUCUCAAACUGGGGCCUUUAUUUCUGUCUUCUUUCCCUGUCUGGAACGUGCUAUCCAAUAUGGAAGCCACUGGCCACAUGUGGCUAUUGAGUGCUUGAAACAUGGUGAGUAUGACUGAAGAACUGAAUUUUUAAUUUCAUUUUAACUUAAAUGUAAAAAUGCAUACACUUGAUUUAGUUGCUGGAAAAUUUUUUAGCAUGUGAAGAAUGACUUGGUUAUGUGAAUCUACUUUUUCAACUAUAAAUUUUAUGUACUCUAAAUACAGAUCAGGCCAGGCACAAUAGCUCAUGCCUAUAAUCCCAGCACUUUGGGAGGCCGAGCUGGGAGGAUCACUGAAGGUCAGGAGUUCGAGGCCAGCCUGGCCAACAUGUUGAAACCCCAUCUCUACUAAAAAUACAAAAAUAAAAAAUAAAAAUUAGCUGGGCAUGGUGACGCAUGCCUGUGUAAUCCCAGCUACUCAGGCGGCUGAGGUGGGAGGUUCCCUUAAGCCCAGGAGGUGGAAGUUGCAGUGAGCCAAGAUUGUGCCACUGCACUCCAGCCUGGGUGACAGAGUGAGAAUCUGUCUCAGAAACUAAACAAAAACCCAAAGAAUGUAACACAUCUCAUUGAUGACUUUUUAUAUUGAUUACGUGUUGAAAUGAUAUUUCAGCUAUAUUGGGUAAAUAAGAUAUAUUAUUAAAAUUAAUUUCAUUUGUUUUCCUUUUUAAAAUGUGGCUACUAACAUUUUUUGAACGACAUGUGGCUCAUUCUAUAUUUCUACUGA